rnacentral:lncRNA from 1 species
CCUUAAAUCAGUAAUUAAAAGUAUAUAAUCCUUAAUAAAAAGUCAGGUCAUUACAAAAGCUAAGCAAAUACUAAGUUUAGCUUUAACAUGUGAUCAAAGAGCCACUGCAAAAGUAACCCUGAGCAACAGGGAAAGAACUAUCCAAACAAAUGCUAAACAAAAGAAGCAAAGAAUAGCUAUAGCAUGAAUUGUGAGGCCCUAAGUAUAAUCAAGUGAACACACUCCGACCCAUGGCCAUCUAAUUCUACUUAUAUAUCUUUACAUUGUAAUUGUGAAUAUUCUACAAGAACUAAUUCAACUAGGACAUGAACAAGUAUCAAUGACAAAAUCAAUCCUACUGUAACAAACAGAGCUGCCUCUCCCCUUAUCUUGCCACCUUUUAUGACUACAAUUCUAUAUAGGUAAACUCUUUCCACACCUAUGAUACCAAAUGCUUAACUCACCUCCAAAAUCAGCUCGAGUCGAUUCAACAACAACCCCAUCUAGUGUCUAUAUUGUACAAUGAUAUAUAACCUGCAGAAAGCAUCAAUAUGAAUUAAAUCGCUUUCAUUUCUCCAAAGAUGAAGUUUCACGAGCUACUAUCACAACACUGUCAACCUAAUCACCCUCCGUCGGUGUCUUUUCACCAGCUCCAGGCCUUAUCAACGCCUUCAGCUUAUCCUAAAAACCAUUGAUCAAGUUUUCAGAAGAAUCGCCUUCGAAGAUCAAGUAAACUGCCCAUUUCCUAUCAUCUACAGAAUAGAUAAACACAAACAUAUAUGUUAUCAGCUAGUUUCACGUAUCAAAUUAAAUUAAAAUACACUAACAGCACCCAUCAUGUUCCAAAAAAUUUCACGGAUCAAAAUCAAUUAAAAUUGUAGGUCAAUAACCGAAACUCAAUCGAAACCAGUGACAUUUUACACAGCACAAAAACAAAUUAGAACUGGUUGAGCAGCAAAAGCGGAAACCCUAACCUUAAUUAAUUUCGCAAAAUAAAUGGAAAUAUUUGGAAAUUGGGUUCUAAUUGCAGCGGAAAUUGGGUCUUCGAAACUACUGCUGCUACAGAGUCUGUGGACGGAGACGCCGAGGCUGAAGGAGGUGGUGCGACGGAGAGCAGGUGGCGCAGCGGGGACUAGGCAACGCGUCUAGGGUUAGCAGACGACAGGCGAGAUGGAAACCGCGGCGCCUAGGGUUAGCGACGAGGACAGGGGCUGCGAGAAGGGGAAGUGCGGAGCCUAGGGUUAGUGAUGUAGACAGGGGCGGCGAGAUGGGGUGGCGCAGCGUCACAGGCGGUGCGGGUCGCGGUGGCGAGAUGGGGGCAGGCUGCGAGAUGGGGGCAGGCUUCACUGCAGUUAGGGAAGAAGAGAGGGGGUAGCAAUUUGGGGGUUAGGGCCUUAGUGAUUUCAAUUUAUGGUUUUUUUUUCUUCAGAUUUGCAGUUUUUUUAAAUGAAAUAUUAUACUAAUAAUGUUUACUUAAAAUCAUUUGAAAUGAUAAUUUAAAAUUAUUUCAUUUUCAGUUCAUUUUUAAUAAUUAAAUUAACUCUAAUUUAUUUAAAUAUGAAUUUAUAAAUAAACUUUUUUAUUUUUAAAUAAACAGUUUUUGUUAAAAAAUAUAAUAUGGUUUUAAAAAAAUAAAUUGAUAAAAAAAUUGAAAAAAGGAAUUUAAUAAUUAAAUUAACUCUAA